AUUGGAUUUAAUUUUUAUGAAAAACCCUAAGCCCCUCUGGACCUGUCGGGAAAAGCAGAGCUUCAUUUUCUAUUUUCCAGAUUAUUGGAAGCCCGAUCUCCCGAUCAAAGCACACUCGCCAGCUUCGUGCUUCUGAUUUUUGCUCGGAAAUUGCUCGAUUGGAGUUGCUUUGUGAUGAAAAAGGCUAUGAAAUGGAGUGAUGAAGAGGACAAGUCGUCAUCUAUAGAGUCGUCUUAAUCACAGUCGGAUUCAGACGCUGAUGAGGAUAGUGGCGAGAAUAAAAGCAAACUUUCGAGUUAAAGCUGGUUGGUCCUCUAAAGAAAAAGACACUGGAGGCAAAUCUGGAAAGCGGAAGAGCAUUGCUGUGGACUUUCAUACACUGAAACGCCACGGCUACAAAGGCGGUCCAUCAAUCUUGUAGGUGCCUAUAACAACAGCCCAAGCCCAUUGCUAGUAGAUAUUGUCCGCUUUAGCUUGUUAUGUAUCGCCGUCAGCCUCACGGUUUUAAAACGCGUUUACUAAGGAGAGAUUUUCACACCCUUAUAAAGAGUGCUUCGUUCCACUCUCCAACCGAUAUAUGGGGUCUCAGAGUGCCACCCUCAGAAGAGAAUGAGAACUAGAUUGGCCACGGUCUACUGGUAGGAAGACUCAGGAAAACAGAGACACUGAAGAAUCGUGUGAAGAGAGACAGAAAAACAAGAGCUGCAUUAGAAAAUGGAGAGCAGCUGCUAACCGUGCAAACUCGGGAAGAGAAGAAUAAUAUUUCCUUCUCCCAGAAGGAAAAGAGGAAAAGAGAGCCCGGUCGAGCAAGCAGGGGGAAAGGCUAUGUAGAGAAAGAAAAGAGAAUGUUGAGGGAAUGCAAACCCAUGCAAUCAGCUGUUCUAACAAAGCAUUCACAUGAAUGCAAAUCCAUGCAACAAACAAAAUAUAAUUACAGGCAUAGUGAAUGACGUCGAGAAACUAAGGACCACGAGGCUUGCCGAAGCAGAAACAACGAGAUGCCUGGUCUUCAGGUCGCCUUUCUGGGUUUGCAUCCCAACAUCUUCUCAUGAUAUUUGCCAACGAACUCGGACAGCAUCGAGGGAUUUCUGGUCGUAAAUUCUGUUGCAAAGAGUGAUUAUGUUUAUAGUGUGAAGAA